rnacentral:rRNA from 1 species
GUGUCAGCCGCCGCGGUAAUACGUAGGUGGCGAGCGUUAUCCGGAUUCACUGGGCGUAAAGCGCGUGCAGGCGGUUCUGCAAGUCGGACGUGAAAGCUCCUGGCUUAACUGGGAGAGGCCGUUCGAAACUGCGGGGCUUGAGGUCGGGAGAGGGACGUGGAAUUCCCGGUGUAGUGGUGGAAUGCGUAGAUAUCGGGAGGAACACCAGUGGCGAAGGCGACGUCCUGGCCCGCACCUGACGCUGAGACGCGAAAGCGUGGGUAGCGAACGGGAUUAGAUACCCUAGUAGUCC